CACGUAGGGUGCGAGCGUUGUCCGGAAUUACUGGGCGUAAAGAGCUCGUAGGUGGUUUGUCGCGUUGUUCGUGAAAACCGGGGGCUUAACCCUCGGCGUGCGGGCGAUACGGGCAGACUUGAGUACUGCAGGGGAGACUGGAAUUCCUGGUGUAGCGGUGGAAUGCGCAGAUAUCAGGAGGAACACCGGUGGCGAAGGCGGGUCUCUGGGCCGAUACUGACGCUGAGGAGCGAAAGCGUGGGGAGCAAACAGG
rnacentral:rRNA from 1 species